rnacentral:rRNA from 1 species
GACGAACGCUGGCGGCGUGCUUAACACAUGCAAGUCGAACGGAAAGCGCUUUUCGGAGUGACUCGAGUGGCGAACGGGUGAGUAACACGUGGGUGAUCUGCCCUGCACUUUGGGAUAAGCCUGGGAAACAGGGUCUAAUACCGGAUAGGACUACGGCCUGCGUGGGUUGUGGUGGAAAGCUUUUGCGGUGUGGGAUGGGCCCGCGGCCUAUCAGCUUGUUGGUGGGGUGAUGGCCUACCAAGGCGACGACGGGUAGCCGGCCUGAGAGGGUGUCCGGCCACACUGGGACUGAGAUACGGCCCAGACUCCUACGGGAGGCAGCAGUGGGGAAUAUUGCACAAUGGGCGCAAGCCUGAUGCAGCGACGCCGCGUGAGGGAUGACGGCCUUCGGGUUGUAAACCUCUUUCAGCACAGACAAAGCGCAAGUGACGGUAUGUGCAGAAGAAGCACCGGCCAACUACGUGCCAGCAGCCGCGGUAAUACGUAGGGUGCGAGCGUUGUCCGGAAUUACUGGGCGUAAAGAGCUCGUAGGUGGUUUGUCGCGUUGUUCGUGAAAACUCACAGCUUAACUGUGGGCGUGCGGGCGAUACGGGCAGACUGGAGUACUGCAGGGGAGACUGGAAUUCCUGGUGUAGCGGUGGAAUGCGCAGAUAUCAGGAGGAACACCGGUGGCGAAGGCGGGUCUCUGGGCAGUAACUGACGCUGAGGAGCGAAAGCGUGGGGAGCGAACAGGAUUAGAUACCCUGGUAGUCCACGCCGUAACGGUGGGUACUAGGGUGUGGGUUUCCUUCCUUGGGAUCCGUGCCGUAGCUAACGCAUUAAGUACCC